GAGUGAAAGUGUGCAAAUGUAGAUGAAAGUACUCGUGUGCGAGUGAAGAUAAAAUGCUCGUGUGCAAGUGAAGAUAAAAGGGUGUUCGUGUGCAAGUGAAGGUGAUAAAAAGGUGCAUGUGUGCAAAUGAGACAAAAGUGAAAGUGUAAUGAUAGAGUGGAUUGAGAAUGCAUGAGCCUAGGGAAUUCAUGCAUAUUGGGUACGGGGAGACCUAAAUCGUGACUUGAUUUUCCCUUUGAUUAGAAGGCGAAACUAGCGUGCUAAGGCUAUCGAGUAGCCACACUCGCUCGUUUCCCU
rnacentral:lncRNA from 1 species